rnacentral:rRNA from 1 species
UACGUAGGGUGCGAGCGUUGUCCGGAAUUACUGGGCGUAAAGAGUUCGUAGGCGGUUUGUCGCGUCGUUCGUGAAAACUUGGGGCUUAACUCCAAGCGUGCGGGCGAUACGGGCAGACUUGAGUACUACAGGGGAGACUGGAAUUCUGGUGUAGCGGUGAAAUGCGCAGAUAUCAGGAGGAACACCGGUGGCGAAGGCGGGUCUCUGGGUAGUAACUGACGCUGAGGAACGAAAGCGUGGGUAGCGAACAGG